rnacentral:rRNA from 1 species
CGGUAAUACGGAGCGGUGCAAGCGUUAAUCGGAAUUACUGGGCGUAAAGCGUGCGUAGGUGGUUUGUUAAGUUAGAUGUGAAAGCCCUGGGCUCAACCUAGGAACUGCAUUUAAAACUGGCGAACUAGAGUAUAGGAGAGGAAAGUGGAAUUUCAGGUGUAGCGGUGAAAUGCGUAGAUAUCUGAAGGAACAUCAAUGGCGAAGGCAGCUUUCUGGACUAAUACUGACACUGAGGUACGAAAGCGUGGGUAGCAAACAGGAUUAGAUACCCUGGUAGUCCACGCCGUAAACGAUGACAACUAGCCGUUGGGAGGAUUUACCUCUUAGUGGCGAAGCUAACGCGUUAAGUUGUCCGCCUGGGGAGUACGGCCGCAAGGCUAAAACUCAAAGGAAUUGACGGGGACCCGCACAAGCGGUGGAGCAUGUGGUUUAAUUCGAUGCAACGCGAAGAACCUUACCUGGUCUUGACAUACACGGAACUUUCCAGAGAUGGAUUGGUGCCUUCGGGAACCGUGAUACAGGUGCUGCAUGGCUGUCGUCAGCUCGUGUCGUGAGAUGUUGGGUUAAGUCCCGUAACGAGCGCAACCCUUAUCCUUAUUUGCCAGCACAUCAUGGUGGGAACUAUAAGGAGACUGCCGGUGAUAAACCGGAGGAAGGCGGGGACGACGUCAAGUCAUCAUGGCCCUUACGACCAGGGCUACACACGUGCUACAAUGGGAAGGACAAAGGGUCGCAACCUCGCGAGAGCAAGCUAAUCUCAUAAACCUUUUCGUAGUCCGGAUCGGAGUCUGCAACUCGACUCCGUGAAGUCGGAAUCGCUAGUAAUCGUGGAUCAGAAUGCCACGGUGAAUACGUUCCCGGG